CCUACGGGAGGCAGCAGUAAGGAAUAUUGGUCAAUGGACGCAAGUCUGAACCAGCCAUGCCGCGUGAAGGAUUAAGGUCCUCUGGAUUGUAAACUUCUUUUAUCUGGGACGAAAAAAGGCGAUUCUUCGUCACUUGACGGUACCAGAUGAAUAAGCACCGGCUAACUCCGUGCCAGCAGCCGCGGUAAUACGGAGGGUGCAAGCGUUAUCCGGAUUCACUGGGUUUAAAGGGUGCGUAGGCGGGCAGGUAAGUCAGUGGUGAAAUCCUAGAGCUUAACUCUAGAACUGCCAUUGAUACUAUCUGUCUUGAAUAUUGUGGAGGUAAGCGGAAUAUGUCAUGUAGCGGUGAAAUGCUUAGAUAUGACAUAGAACACCUAUUGCGAAGGCAGCUUACUACGCAUAUAUUGACGCUGAGGCACGAAAGCGUGGGGAUCAAACAGGAUUAGAUACCCUGGUAGUCCACGCCCUAAACGAUGAUUACUCGACAUUUGUGAUACACUAUAAGUGUCUGAGCGAAAGCAUUAAGUAAUCCACCUUGGGAAGUACGACCGCAAGGUUGAACGUUCAAAGAGUUAGUUGCGGNGNGAGAGCGACGGACGACGACGACGGAGGAGGAG
rnacentral:rRNA from 1 species